GACGAACGCUGGCGGCGUGCUUAACACAUGCAAGUCGAACGAUGAAGCCGGAGCUUGCUCUGGUGAAUUAGUGGCGAACGGGUGAGUAACACGUGAGUAACCUGCCCUUGACUCUGGGAUAACUGCGGGAAACUGUAGCUAAUACCGGAUACGACCCUCGGCGGCAUCGCCAGGGGGUGGAAAGAAUUUCGGUCAAGGAUGGACUCGCGGCCUAUCAGCUAGUUGGUGAGGUAACGGCUCACCAAGGCGACGACGGGUAGCCGGCCUGAGAGGGUGACCGGCCACACUGGGACUGAGACACGGCCCAGACUCCUACGGGAGGCAGCAGUGGGGAAUAUUGCACAAUGGGCGCAAGCCUGAUGCAGCAACGCCGCGUGAGGGAUGACGGCCUUCGGGUUGUAAACCUCUUUUAGUAGGGAAGAAGCGAAGGUGACGGUACCUGCAGAAAAAGCACCGGCUAACUACGUGCCAGCAGCCGCCGCAG
rnacentral:rRNA from 1 species